UUUUAGUUCCUCUCAGUGUCGUUGUAAGUGCGUUGCUUCCACUGGCUUUACUACGUCUGAGCCUAAAUACCUUUUCUAUCCUGUUGAUUUAUUUUUCUCGGAUUUUUUUUUAUUUUUAUUUUUUAUUAACCAAUCAUCGUUACUAGACAUCAGCAUACAGUCUGAGAGUUUCCUCAAGUCAUAUACUAAAAAACAGCCAUGAUCACCAGAAAAAGAGGAAGAAGCAGCCUUAAUGAUGAUGUCACAUCUACAAGUACCUCCCAUGAGAGUGAUGGUGCUUCGAAAACCAGUAAUUCAAGCGAAACAAACACGCACACUUCUCCAGAAAGUGACACCAAUGACUGGGGCCUGGAUGACCUACUUGGCUCCGAGUUCAACUGGGACCUGGACAACGAUGUGCUGGAUGUUUUUGGCAACCUUGAAUCACAGACCAACGAUGAGAUGAGCCAAAGUGCAGUGCUUGAUGUUCCGGUAUCCCGCAGCAGAGGUGUGGUCCAGAGGUCAAAGCUGCAAGACGUCUCCGGUCGGAUCAUCAACAAGAACGCCAUUGCGGCAAGGAUAAACAGAUUAAAGAAGAAAGAAUACGUCAGUGGCUUGGAGCAGAGAGUUGGCUCUUUGACAACAGAAAACCGUGUUCUCAAGCAGGAAAAUGGGAAUCUCAACAAGAGAGUGGAAGAGUUGGAGAAUGAAACUAGGUACUUGAGAGCCGUGUUGGCCAAUGAGAGCAUGCUGGCUCAGCUGUUGUCUAGAUUGAGCGGUGUGAACGGCAUGAAAUUCUCUACCUCACUUUUCCAGGAAUCCAACGAGAAUGACCACGAUUAUGCCAUGCCGAGGAAGAGGGUGAAGGUGGAAGACAAAGAUACUGCAGGUGGUGUCUGCCUGCAUGUGGACAAAGACCACGUCUCGGUGGAAUUCUGCACCAAGUGUGCUGAGAGUUCAAGCUUGUCGCAUAAAAUGUAGGGUCAAGUAUUUUACCUUUUCAACGUUUCCUGAGACUGAACAUUGCACAAGGUGUAAAUGAGGGGACAUGACAACAGUAGUCAAAUAUAGAGUUAACUGUUUAAAAUGUGUGCAGAGCUUGAAUGGCAUGUCUAUUGAACCUGCUUUCAAUACAAGUUACUGCUAAACUUGUUGACAGUUUUCUUCUAGGUGCUUGGUCUGCCAUGCUGGGCGCCUGGGUCACAGAACAUCCACGACUGCUGAAAUCCAUGGUAAGGAUCAAGAUAUAGAAGACUGCACAGAACUGGUUAACUCCUAAGACGAAGAAAGUGCUUUUUGCCAGUUCACGGCACAAUACGAACUUGGAUUUUGCUGUGGGGAAAGCAGAAGAGUCGGGACCAGCAGCUUGCAUCAUGGCCUGGUAAAUUUAAAAAAAGGUAGUACAUGAAACCGUGUAAGUUACAGCUUUUACUGACUCUCUAUCACACCCCUAAAGAUGUCAGAUGCUGUCAUGCUCAUUUAGCAUCUAAAUGAGCGUUUAAACUCUUCUGUUUGUAGUAAUGUUUGCUUACAAGACAUUCAAUAUCUGUGUAAUAUCCAUGUGUUUCAUCUUGAUUUGUUAAAGCACUUGGACUUUAUUUGACAGUUGUCCAGAUGAAGAGAAAUGGUAUGUUUUCAGACAGGCUUUUCAAAGGGUUAUGAUUUCUGAAUAAGUCAUCUAUAUGUGAGAUGUAAUUGAAAUCCAAAGACUGUGCAGGCACAUGCAGCUGCAGCUGUGCUGAAAUAAAAUGUAAUAAAUUUUUCUUUUGAGUAAUGCAAAA